UGGGGUGGAAAGUUCCGGCGGUGAAGGAUGACCCCGGGCCCUAUCAGCUUGUUGGUGAGGUAACGGCUCACCAAGGCGACGACGGGUAGCCGCCCUGAGAGGGCGACCGGCCACACUGGGACUGAGACACGGCCCAGAUUCCUACGGGAGGCAGCAGUGGGGAAUAUUGCACAAUGGGCGAAAGCCUGAUGCGACGACGCCACGUGAGGGAUGACGGUCUUCGGGGUGUAAACCUCUUUCAACUGGGAAGAAGCGAAGGUGACGGGACCUGCAGAAGAAGCGCCGGCUAACUACGUGCCAGCAGCCGCGGUAAUACGUAGGGCGCGAGCGUUGUCCGGAAUUAUUGGGCGUAAAGAGCUCGUAGGCGGUCUGUCGCGUCGGAUGUGAAAGCCCGGCGCUUAGCCCCGGGUCUGCAUUCGAUACGGGCAGACUAGAGUGUGGUAGGGGAGAUCGGAAUUCCUGGCGUAACGGUGAAAUGCGCACACAUCAUGAGGAACACCGGUGGCGAAAGUGGAUCUCUGGGCCAUUACUGACGCUGAGGAGCGAAAGCGUGUGGAGCGAACAUGAUUAGAUACCCUGGUAGUCCACGCCGUAAACGGUGGGAACUAGGUGUUGGCGACAUUCCACUAUGUCUGUGCCGCAUCUAACGCAUUAAGUUCUCCGCCUGGAGAGUACGGCCGCAAGGCUAAAACUCAAAGGAAUUGACGGGGGCCCGCACAAGCAGCGGAGCAUGUGGCUUAAUUCGACGCAACGCGAAGAACCUUACCAAGGCUUGACAUACACCGGAAACGGCCAGAGAUGGUCGCCCCCUUGUGGUCGGUGUACAGGUGGUGCAUGGCUGUCGUCAGCUCGUGUCGUGAGAUGUUGGGUUAAGUCCCGCAACGAGCGCAACCCUUGUUCUGUGUUGCCAGCAUGCCCUUCGGGGUGAUGGGGACUCACAGGAGACUGCCGGGGUCAACUCGGAGGAAGGUGGGGACGACGUCAAGUCAUCAUGCCCCUUAUGUCUUGGGCUGCACACGUGCUACAAUGGCAGGUACAAUGAGCUGCGAAGCCGUGAGGCGGAGCGAAUCUCAAAAAGCCUGUCUCAGUUCGGAUUGGGGUCUGCAACUCGACCCCAUGAAGUCGGAGUUGCUAGUAAUCGCAGAUCAGCAGUGCUGCGGUGAAUACGUUCCCGGGCCUUGUACACACCGCCCGUCACGUCACGAAAGUCGGUAACACCCGAAGCCG
rnacentral:rRNA from 1 species